GUGUCCACGCAGUAGUACAGUAUCGAUUGGGAAGUAUGUAACUUGUGUGCAGUAGUGUACCGUCAUUUUUCUUUAAGAAACUAUAACACCUUAAAAUGCGAGUCAAUAUUGUAGGUCAUGUUAUGUCCUCCCCACUUGUGAGUAACAUACUGAAAGGUAAAGAUUGUGGUACCUAAGUUUGUGACUUAUAGAUGUGCUGAAAUUUUAGCCAAUUGACAAUUUGAGAUCAUGCUUAUUCGAGAUCGUUUAGCCGUGCAGCAUGCCACAGUGUGAUAUCUCCUUGUAUUUCUUUUAUGCUUCAAACGUAAAAAAACUGAAUCUGCCGUUGCUAGAUAACCAGUAGUGUCAAAAACACUCUUUUAUAUUACAGGACGGAGGGGUAGUAUCUUGAUGAUUUGCUUGAACACAAUGAUGUCCUCACCACGAGAGCCUUUUGGCACUCUUGCUAUUCUUGUUGACGACGAUCAAUUGACUUUCAGUCUGAAUUGUUUCCUUUGUUUACAGCUGGUUGGGGCCAUGAGCUGGGCAAGUAGAUAAGCCAACGAGUCAUUCCGUUGUGACCUGCAAUAUUGUAUCCAGUAACUCAAAAUUAGACACUACUGUUGCGAUCAGGACGUCAUACAUAAAAUUUAGUUUGGUUUCAGUGACAAGUGGCUGUAUACAUUAAGAUGCAAAUAUUAAAAGGAGUAGCGUCCUCAUGCACAUGUUACAGACACAUAGCUACUCUAAGCAAACAAUAAUAAGAACAAUGUUUUUGCGACAGCCAACAAGUGUUUUUCUUUUGGUUCCAAUAUAUUGCUUUUGUCUCCACUCUGUAAAUAGUGUUCAUUUACUUUUCAUAUUAUAUGCUUUCCAAAAAUAUGAUAAUGCUCAAAAUAUCUUACAUCAAAAAUACCGAAAUGUGUUUGGUUUUAACUAUCUGAAUACAAGUAAGCUUUCCAUUAAGUAGAGACGAAGAUGGAGAAAACACAUUACCGAUGUAUAUGAUUUUAGCUACUCUAUGCAAACAAUAAUAAAAACGAUGUGUUCGCGACGGCCGACAAGUGUUCAGAUACUAUGAUAUAGAUUGAUUUUCUUGUGAGCCUGUAAAUGGUGUUCAUUUACUUUUCAUAGUAUAUGCUUGCCAGAAAAAUGAUAUGAUCAAAAUAGAUUUCAUAAAAAAAAUCGCAAUGUGUUUGUUUUAACUGUGAUGUCCCCACCACCAGAGCCUUUUGGCACUCUUAUUCUUAUUGACCACGAUCAAUUGACUUUCAAUCUGAAUUGUUUCCUUUGUUUACAGCUGGUUGGGGCCAUGAGCUCAGUUGACUUUCAGUCUGAAUUGUUUCCUUUGUUUACAGCUGGUUGGGGCCAUGAGCUGAGCAAGUAGAUAAGCCAACGAAUUUCCAAAGUUAGUUGUUGAGUCAUUCCGUUGUGACCUGCAAUAUUGUAUCCAGUAACUCAAAAUUAGACACUAUUGUUGCGAUCAGGACGUCAUACAUAAAAUUUAGUUUGGUUUCGAUGACAAGUGGAUAUAUAGAUAAAGAUGCAAAUAUUAAAAGGAGUAGCGUCCUCAUGCACAUGUUACAGACACUUAGCUACUCUAGCAAACAAUAAUAAGAACAAUGUUUUUGCGACAGCCGACAAGUGUUUUUCUUUUGGUUCCAAUAUAUUGCUUUCGUCUCCAGUCUAUAAAGUGUUCAUUUACUUUUCAUAUUAUAUGCUUGCCAAAAAUAUGAUAAUGCUCAAAAUACCUUUUAUCAAAAAUACCGAAAUGUGUUUGGUUUUCAUUAUCUGAGUGAAAAGUAAGCUUUCCAUUAAGUAGAGACAGAAAUGGAGAAAACACAUUACCAACGUAUAUGAUUUUAGCUACUCUAUGCAAACAAUAAUAAAAACGAUGUGUUCGCGACAGCCGACAAGUGUUCAGAUACUAUGAUAUAUACUGCUUUCCUUGUGAGCCUGUAAAUGGUAUUCAUUUACUUUUCAUAGUAUAUGCUUGGCAGAAAAAUGAUAUGAUCAAAAUAGAUUUCAUUAAAAAAAUCGCAAUGUGUUUGUUUUAACUAUGAUGUCCUCACCACGAGAGCCUUUUGGCCCUCUUGCUAUUCUUGUUGACCACGAUCAAUUGACUUUCAGUCUGAAUUGUUUCCUUUGUUUACAGCUGGUUAGGGGCAUGAGCUGGGUAAGUAGAUAAGCCAACGAAUUUCCAAACUUAGUUGUUGAGUCAUUCCGUUGUGACCUGCAAUAUUGUAUCCAGUAACUCAAAAUUAGACACUACUGUUGCGAUCAAGACGUCAUAUAUAAAAUUUAGUUUGGUUUCAAUGACAAGUGGCUGUAUAGAUUAAGAUGCAAAUAUUAAUAGGAUCUCAUGCACAUGUUGCAGACACAUAGCUACUCUAAGCAAACAAUAAUAAAAACAAUAUUUUUGUGACAGCCGACAAGUGCUUUUCUUUUUGUUCUAAUAUAUUGCUUUUGUCUCCAGUCUGUAAAUAGUGUUCAUUUACUUUUCAUAUUAUAUGAUUUCCAAAAAUAUGAUAACGCUCAAAAUAUCUUUCAUCAAGAAUACCGAAAUGUGUUUGGUUUUAACUAUCUGAGUGGAAAGUAAGCUUUCCAUUAAGUGGAGACGGAGAUGGAGAAAACACAUUACCAAUGUAUAUGAUCUUAGCUACUCUGUGCAAACAAUAAUAAAAACGAUGUGUUCGCGACGGCCAACAAGUUUUCAGAUACUAUGAUAUAUACUGCUUUCCUUGUGAGCCUGUAAAUGGUAUUCAUUUACUUUUCAUAGUAUAUGCUUGGCAGAAAAAUGAUAUGAUCAAAAUAGAUUUCAUAAAAAAAAAUCACAAUGUGUUUGUUUUAACUGUGCAUAAACAUAAUCUAGUUGCCCCACGGAGAAGUGGAGGGCUAAAAACAUUAAGAAGAUGAGUAUACCUGCUAUGGAAUGGUGCGUUGAAGGUUCUGCAUCUACAN
rnacentral:lncRNA from 1 species